AGUGAACGCUGGCGGUAGGCCUAACACAUGCAAGUCGAACGGCAGCACAGUAAGAGCUUGCUCUUACGGGUGGCGAGUGGCGGACGGGUGAGGAAUACAUCGGAAUCUACUUUUUCGUGGGGGGUAACGUAGGGAAACUUACGCUAAUACCGCAUACGACCUACGGGUGAAAGCAGGGGAUCUUCGGACCUUGCGCGAUUGAAUGAGCCGAUGUCGGAUUAGCUAGUUGGCGGGGUAAAGGCCCACCAAGGCGACGAUCCGUAGCUGGUCUGAGAGGAUGAUCAGCCACACUGGAACUGAGACACGGUCCAGACUCCUACGGGAGGCAGCAGUGGGGAAUAUUGGACAAUGGGCGCAAGCCUGAUCCAGCCAUACCGCGUGGGUGAAGAAGGCCUUCGGGUUGUUAAGCCCUUUUGUUGGGAAAGAAAAGCAGCAGGUUAAUACCCCGCUGUUCUGACGGUACCCAAAGAAUAAGCACCGGCUAACUUCGUG
rnacentral:rRNA from 1 species